GGCGACCGGCGCAAGGGUGCGUAACGCGUGAGCAACUUGCCCUCAUCAGGGGAAUAAUCGCUGGAAACGGCGUCUAAUGCCCCAUGGUGAUGUCCUCAGGCAUCUGAGGUCAUCUAAAGAUCCGUCGGAUGGGGAUAGGCUCGCGUGACAUUAGCUAGUCGGCGGGGUAACGGCCCACCGAGGCGACGAUGUCUAGGGGUUCUGAGAGGAAGGUCCCCCACACUGGUACUGAGACACGGACCAGACUCCUACGGGAGGCAGCAGUGAGGAAUAUUGGUCAAUGGGCUUACGCCUGAACCAGCCAAGUCGCGUGAGGGAAGACUGCCCUAUGGGUUGUAAACCUCUUUUGUCAGGGAGCAACGCCGGCUACGUGUAGCCGGACUGAGAGUACCUGAAGAAAAAGCAUCGGCUAACUCCGUGCCAGCAGCCGCGGUAAUACGGAGGAUGCGAGCGUUAUCCGGAUUUAUUGGGUUUAAAGGGUGCGUAGGCGGAAUGCCAAGUCAGCGGUAAAAUCGCGGGGCUCAACCUCGCUCCGCCGUUGAAACUGGCGUUCUUGAGUGGGCGAGAAGUAUGCGGAAUGCGUGGUGUAGCGGUGAAAUGCAUAGAUAUCACGCAGAACUCCGAUUGCGAAGGCAGCAUACCGGCGCCCAACUGACGCUGAAGCACGAAAGCGUGGGUAUCGAACAGGAUUAGAUACCCUGGUAGUCCACGCAGUAAACGAUGAAUA
rnacentral:rRNA from 1 species